GACGUAGGGUGCGAGCGUUGUCCGGAUUCACUGGGUUUAAAGGGUGCGUAGGUGGGCAAGUAAGUCAGUGGUGAAAUCUCCGGGCUUAACCCGGAAACUGCCAUUGAUACUAUUUGUCUUGAAUACUGUGGAGGUCAGCGGAAUAUGUCAUGUAGCGGUGAAAUGCUUAGAUAUGACAUAGAACACCAAUUGCGAAGGCAGCUGGCUACACAAAUAUUGACACUGAGGCACGAAAGCGUGGGGAUCAAACAGG
rnacentral:rRNA from 1 species